rnacentral:lncRNA from 12 species
GGGCAUUUCAAUAUCGAUUUUUUAUCAUUCCCUCGUUCUUUCUGAUCCUCCCUUUGUUUUUUCUUGUUCCCCGUUCUUUCUAUUCUUUCUUUUGCUACUGUAUCCUUCCCUCGUUCUUCCUAUUCUUACUUUUUAUGUUUUCGCAUUUCCUCGUUCUUUCUACUUUCUUUUUCUAUUUAUUCGUUUCCUCAUUCAUUCUAUUCCUCCUUUUGUUUCUUUCUUGUUCUCUCGUACUUUCUAUUCUUUCAUUUUCCAUUUUCUCAUUCCCUCCUUCUUUCUAUUCCUUCUUUUUAUGUUUUCUCAUUCUCUUGUUCUUUCUAUUCUUUCAUUCUCUAUUUUCUCAUUCCAUGGUUCUUUCUAUUCCUUUUUUUUUGUUUUCUCGUUCCCUUGUUCUUUCUAUUCCUCCUUAUCAUGUAUUGACUUUCCCUUGUUCGUUCUAUUCUUUCAUUUUCUAUUUUCUCGUUCCCUCAUUCUUUCUCUUCAUUCUUUUUAUGUUUUCUCGUUCCCUCAUCCAUUCUAUUCCUUCUUUUUUUGUAUUCUCGUUCCCUUGUUCUUUCAAUUCCUUCUUUUUAUGUUUUCUCAUUCCCUCGUUCUUUCUAUGCUUUCAUUUUCUAUUUUCUCUUUCCCUCGUUCUUUCUAUUUCUCCUUUUUCUAUUUCCUCGUUCGCUUGUUUUUUCUAUUCCUCCUUUUUGUUUUCUCAUUCCCUCAAUUUUUCUAUUCCUUUUUUUGUUUGUUUCUUGUUCCCUCAUUCUUUCUAUUCUUUAUUUUUCUUUUUUCUCGUUGCCGCGUUCUUUCUAUUCUUUCAUUUUCUAUUUUCUCAUUAUUCCCUCAUUCUUUCCAUUCUUCCUUUUCUAUUUUCUCAUUCCCUCAUUCUUUCCAUUCUUCCUUUUUUGUUUUCUCGUUCCUUUGUUCUUUUUCUCCUUUUCAUGUUUUCUCGUUCCCUUGUUCUUUCUAUUCCUCCUUCUUUAAUUUUCUCGUUCCCACUUUCUCUCUAUUCCACCUUUUUCUAUUUUCUCGUUCCCUCGUUCUUUCUAUUCUUUCAUUUUCUAUUUUCUCAUUCCCUUGUUCUUUCUAUUCUUCCUUUUUCUAUUUUCUCGUUCCCUCAUUCUUUCUAUUCUUUCAUUUUCUAUUUUGUCGUUCCCUCGUUCUUUCUAUUCUUUCCUUAUGUUUUCUCAUUCCCUCGUUCUUUCUAUUGUUUCAUUUUCUAUUUUCUCGUUCCCUCGUUCUUUCUAUUCCUCUUUUUUAUGUUUUCUCUGCAUCUCAGGUAUGUACGUUAGUUGGCUGCACAUUGAAUAGAUAUGUCGUAACAAAGCUAGCUGAGGAUGAUCAUCCUUCUUACCAGAAGACACUGAAAACAGGUAAGCUGUGCACAGCACUCUGGUGGCCAUCCUUCUAAACGCUCAACACUGAAAAAUGGUAUGCUGCUAAUAGCACUCUGGUGCUCUGCUGCUUCCUGGUUCGCGCUUUGUAUCAUGCGGCGGUUUCUCUCUGCGGAGAAGUUUUGUCUACUCCUCACACUGUACACGGUGCUGCUAGCUUUUGCUACUGCCAAAAAUCACCAGGCACUCACGCUUUUCUUCUAAACCCUUUCUGCCAUACCAUAUUGCCCUGCUUCUUCUAUGUGUACCCUGCACUCUUUCAACUCUGCAUAGUGAAGAGCACUGUAGUGUAACCUAAGGUUAAAGUGAAAGCGUGCACAGCACACAGUACUUCUCACUUGCCACUGCACAUACCAAUGUCUUGUCUGCACUUAAGUUAUGUACGUUAGUAGGCUGCAUAUUGAAUAGGUAUGUUGUAACAAAGCUAGCUGACGAUGAUCAUCCUUCUUAGCACUUGAUACUGACAACCGGUAUGC